rnacentral:rRNA from 1 species
UGGGGAAUAUUGGACAAUGGGCGGAAGCCUGAUCCAGCAACGCCGCGUGAGGGAUGACGGCCUUCGGGUUGUAAACCUCUUUCAGUACCGACGAAGCGAAAGUGACGGUAGGUACAGAAGAAGGACCGGCCAACUACGUGCCAGCAGCCGCGGUAAUACGUAGGGUCCGAGCGUUGUCCGGAAUUAUUGGGCGUAAAGGGCUCGUAGGCGGUUUGUCGCGUCGGGAGUGAAAACAGCGGGCUUAACUCGUUGCUUGCUUUCGAUACGGGCAGACUAGAGGUAUGCAGGGGAGAAUGGAAUUCCUGGUGUAGCGGUGAAAUGCGCAGAUAUCAGGAGGAACACCGGUGGCGAAGGCGGUUCUCUGGGCAUUACCUGACGCUGAGGAGCGAAAGUGUGGGGAGCGAACAGGAUUAGAUACCCUGGUAGUCCACACCGUAAAACGUUGGGCGCUAGGUGUGGGGUCCCUUCCACGGAUUCCGUGCCGUAGCUAACGCAUUAAGCGCCCCGCCUGGGGAGUACGGCCGCAAGGCUAAAACUUAAAUGAAUUGACGGGGUC